rnacentral:rRNA from 1 species
AUUGAACGCUGGCGGCAGGCCUAACACAUGCAAGUCGCACGAGUGGCGGACGGGUUAGUAAUGCCUGGGAACCUGCCUGCUGGAGGGGGAUAACUACUGGAAACGGUAGCUAAUACCGCAUACCAUCGGAUGUGCCUAGAUGGGAUUAGCUAGGGGGUGGGGUAAAGGCUCACCUAGGCGACGAUCCCUAGCUGGUCUGAGAGGAUGACCGGCCACACUGGAACUGAGACACGGUCCAGACUCCUACGGGAGGCAGCAGUGGGGAAUAUUGCACAAUGGGCGCAAGCCUGAUGCAGCCAUGCCGCGUGUAUGAAGAAGGCCUUCGGGUUGUAAAGUAUUUUCAGCGGGGAGGCGUUACCCGCAGAAGAAGCACCGGCUAACUCCGUGCCAGCAGCCGCGGUAAUAC